rnacentral:rRNA from 1 species
UACGUAGGGACCGAGCGUUGUCCGGAAUCAUUGGGCGUAAAGAGCGUGUAGGCGGCUUGUUAAGUCUUGCGUGAAAUCUCGGGGCUCAACCCCGAGCGGUCGUGAGAAACUGGCAGGCUAGAGUGCGGGAGAGGAGAGUGGAAUUCCUGGUGUAGCGGUGAAAUGCGCAGAUAUCAGGAAGAACACCCGUGGCGAAGGCGGCUCUCUGGCCCGAUACUGACGCUGAGGCACGAAAGCGUGGGGAGCAAACAGG